GGGCCCGCACAAGCGGUGGAGCAUGUGGUUCAAUUCGACGCAACGCGAAGAACCUUACCUGGGCUCGAACGGCUUCCUAACGGUCUGUGAAAGCAGGCUAUCCCGCAAGGGAGUGGAGUCGAGGUGCUGCAUGGCUGUCGUCAGCUCGUGUCGUGAGAUGUUGGGUUAAGUCCCGCAACGAGCGCAACCCUUGUCCUGUGUUGCAAACCGAAAGGUGCACUCGCAGGAGACCGCCAGCGAUAAGUUGGAGGAAGGUGGGGAUGACGUCAAGUCAUCAUGGCCUUUAUGUCCAGGGCUACACACGUGCUACAAUGGACGGUACAAAGCGCCGCAAACCCGCGAGGGGGAGCAAAUCGCAAAAAACCGUUCUCAGUUCGGAUUGCAGGCUGCAACUCGCCUGCAUGAAGCUGGAAUCGCUAGUAAUGGCAUAUCAGAAUGAUGCCGUGAAUACGUUCCCGGGCCUUGUACACACCGCCCGUCACAU
rnacentral:rRNA from 1 species